ACACAAAAACCUUUUUAGUUGUCGUUUUCGUUGGAAAACAAAAACAAAAACCUGUACUCUUUCCCAGCUCUCUGUGAAAUCUGCCGCAGAAAACUCUCUCGGUUUCUGAAGAGUAAUCGGAAUCCGAUGGCGAACCUCAUGGUAGAGGACACGACUUCUGAGGACGAUCAGCUCGCCGCGAUGACGACGGAAGACAUCAUUAGAGCAACUCGUCUUCUCGACAACAAGAUCCGCGUACACAAGGAAGAAAUGUCAAGAACAAAUUUGGAGCUGGACUCGUACAAGGAGAAGAUAAAGGAGAAUCAGGAAAAGAUUAAGCUUAAUAAGCAGUUGCCCUACUUGGUGGGCAACAUCGUUGAGAUUCUGGAAAUGAACCCAGAAGAUGAGGCUGAGGAGGAUGGUGCAAAUAUUGAUCUUGACUCCCAAAGAAAGGGAAAGUGUGUUGUUUUGAAAACAUCUACUCGCCAGACAAUCUUUCUCCCAGUUGUUGGGCUUGUUGAUCCUGAUACCUUGAAGCCUGGGGAUCUUGUUGGUGUGAACAAGGAUAGUUACCUGAUCUUGGAUACUCUUCCAUCCGAGUAUGAUUCUCGAGUAAAGGCUAUGGAAGGUUGACGAAAAACCAACUGAAGACUACAAUGACAUUGGAGGGCUGGAGAAGCAGAUUCAAGAACUAGUUGAGGCGAUUGUUUUACCCAUGACCCACAGUGAGCGUUUUCAGAAGUUGGGAAUUCGCCCACCAAAGGGAGUGUUAUUGUAUGGACCUCCUGGAACCGGUAAAACUUUGAUGGCUCGGGCUUGUGCUGCUCAGACAAAUGCCACUUUUCUGAAACUGGCUGGUCCCCAACUGGUUCAGAUGUUUAUUGGAGAUGGAGCUAAACUUGUUCGCGAUGCCUUUCUGCUUGCAAAAGAGAAAUCCCCCUGCAUCAUUUUCAUAGAUGAAAUUGACGCAAUUGGCACGAAACGGUUUGAUAGUGAAGUGAGCGGGGAUAGGGAGGUGCAGCGUACAAUGCUUGAGUUGCUAAAUCAGCUUGAUGGAUUUAGUAGUGAUGACCGUAUCAAGGUGAUAGCAGCAACAAAUCGUGCUGAUAUCCUGGACCCUGCUCUGGUGCGUUCUGGUCGGUUGGAUCGUAAAAUUGAGCUUCCUCAUCCCACUGAAGAAGCAAGAGCUCGGAUUUUGCAGAUUCACUCAAGGAAGAUGAAUGUUCAUCCUGAUGUCAAUUUUGAAGAAUUGGCUCGCUCGACCGAUGACUUCAACGGAGCACAGCUAAAAGCUGUUUGUUUGUGUGGAGGCAGGCAUGCUAGCUCUUCGCCGUGACGCGACUGAGGUGAACCACGAAGACUUCAACGAGGGGAUUAUCCAAGUUCAAGCGAAGAAGAAGGCUAGCCUGAAUUAUUAUGCCUAGACCGAACGUUGGCGCGUUUUCGUUCGGAAAAACCAAACCCUCCUUUGUGUAUUCAUCGUUGUAGUGAUAUUUGAAAUCUAGUGAAAAGAUAUUUAGGUCUUGCUAGGAACCCGCUACUGGUCAGCUGCUUUCCCCAGUCGCUCCUUGUGUAACUGAAAUGUUAGUUGAUGGGGAAAUACCUCUUUCUGCAUGUCAUAUCUCUAAUUUUCAUUGCUUAUCUUUGAAUCUUUGGUGGCCUCUGUUUCCCUUCAGAUUUUGCAAGAAUAUGGUUUACCGCUUCUGUUUAA